CGUAAACGAUGAGUGCUAAGUGUUAGAGGGUUUCCGCCCUUUAGUGCUGCAGCAAACGCAUUAAGCACUCCGCCUGGGGAGUACGACCGCAAGGUUGAAACUCAAAGGAAUUGACGGGGGCCCGCACAAGCGGUGGAGCAUGUGGUUUAAUUUGAAGCAACGCGAAGAACCUUACCAGGUCUUGACAUCCUCUGACAAUCCUAGAGAUAGGACUUUCCCCUUCGGGGGACAGAGUGACAGGUGGUGCAUGGUUGUCGUCAGCUCGUGUCGUGAGAUGUUGGGUUAAGUCCCGCAACGAGCGCAACCCUUGAUCUUAGUUGCCAGCAUUUAGUUGGGCACUCUAAGGUGACUGCCGGUGACAAACCGGAGGAAGGUGGGGAUGACGUCAAAUCAUCAUGCCCCUUAUGACCUGGGCUACACACGUGCUACAAUGGAUGGUACAAAGGGCUGCAAGACCGCGAGGUUUAGCCAAUCCCAUAAAACCAUUCUCAGUUCGGAUUGUAGGCUGCAACUCGCCUACAUGAAGCCGGAAUCGCUAGUAAUCGCGGAUCAGCAUGCCGCGGUGAAUACGUUCCCGGGCCUUGUACACACCGCCCGUCACACCACGAGAGUUUGUAACACCCGAAGUCGGUGGGGUAACCUUUUGGAGCCAGCCGCCUAAGGUGGGACAGAUGAUU
rnacentral:rRNA from 1 species